AUUGAACGCUGGCGGCAGGCCUAACACAUGCAAGUCGAACGAGUGGCGGACGGGUGCGUAAUGUCUGGGAAACUGCCUGCUGGCGGGGGAUAACCACUGGAAACGGUAGCUAAUACCGCCUACCAUCGGAUUUGCCCAGAUGGGAUUGGCUAGUUGGUGGGGUAACGGCUCACCAAGGCGACGAUCCCUAGCUGGUCUGAGAGGAUGACCAGCAACACUGGAACGGAGACACGGUCCAGACUCCUACGGGAGGCAGCAGUGGGGAAUAGUGCACAAUGGGCGCAAGCCUGAUGCAGCAAUGCCGCGUGUAUGAAGAAGGCGUUCGGAUUGUAAAGUACUGUCAGCGGGGAGGCGUUACCCGCAGAAGAAGCACCGGCUAACUCCGUGCCAGCAGCCGCGGUAAUUC
rnacentral:rRNA from 1 species